UAACAGCAGUAUCAGAAUUUGGUCUGUGGUGUUUGUUUUGUGUGGAGCUGGAUAAAGAAUUUGAACUGCGCAGGCAGAGAAAAAGAAACAGAUCUCCAUUGCUCCUGAGGAAGGAUUACUCCGAAACGUGUUGAGCCUCAGUAAAUUUACCAAGCACCAGAGCCUGCCUCUCUUUCUUGUCCAUCACGUGGUGCUUUUCCCUUUUGUUUCUGCCAGCUCUACAGGAGUGCAAAAUUGCUAAGAGCAGACCUGAUAAUGAAAUUGAUCUGCGCUUUGAAAGACAACAGCAUUACUUAUGAGCAACUGACUAACAUUAACUAAUAAAGGUGGCUUUUAAUAAGCCAUUGCAGACAA